CCACACAAUGGAGGCAACGGUUCCAGCGGGUCACUCCCUGGAGGCAACGAGGAAAGUCCGGUGGGGUGCAGGUUCGUCCUGAGCCGAAUCCGGCGCUGUCCCGCAGCUGUGAUGGGGGCCCUGGCCCCUUCAGUCAGAACGCUCGCCGUGCACAAUCCCUUCAU
rnacentral:ncRNA from 2 species